rnacentral:misc_RNA from 1 species
GUGAAUUGAAUAUGUUAGCGGACCUCUUCGGAGUCCCUAGCAUCAAAUCAUAUCCAUAACACCUGUGAACUGUAAGGCUGUCUUGAAAACGAAAGUGAUUAGAGCGCUGCCCAUUUUAUACAAACAUUAAAGUAACAAACGUAGUCUUAUUAUAAUCUAAUA